rnacentral:lncRNA from 10 species
GAAACUGAACUUAAGCAAGCUCUGUGGCUAACUUCUGUGUACGAGAAAUAUGAGGAAUAGAAGAACAAAUUAGGUGGCAGCCCCAGAAAAAAAACAAAUUCAAAACAUGGCAUGUUCUGUACGACAACUGACCCAGUUUCUGAAACAAGAAAAAUAUAGCAUGAAGACAUUUAAUCUUAAAACAGAUACUUGGAAGAUAUGAUAUCCAUUAAUUCA